rnacentral:misc_RNA from 1 species
UCUUCCCUUUUUUAUUCCAUUCUUUUUGUCCCGUCUGCUUACUUCUUCCCUCUUCCCUUCUCCAGGUUUCACUAGCGACACACAUCUUGUUUGAGAGUGUGUGUGCGUGUGUGCCUACGCGCGUUCCCCAUUGCCUCUGAGCGCGUAAAAAAAAGUUUGCGAUUAUCAUCAAACGCUCCGUUCGCCCCCUCCCCCCAACGUUUCCUCGAAAGACUAACAAAACAUAGAAAAUAGACGACGAUAGGAGAAGUUCGCCGUUUUGCUGUCACCCGCGUUACGUCCAAUAGCGACCUGCAACCACCUCGGAUAUGUAAGCACUAUAUAACCAUAUUUGUGAGACUGUACUUCAUUGCGCUCUUUUCCUCUCUGGUUUCCUUUUCUCGCCUGCUACGCGUUUCUUGUAUGUGUUGUAUUGGAUGAGGACAAAUUAAUGCUUUUUGACAAAAAAGUUUAUCGUGUGUCUCUCUUUCUCGUGCUGAGGAGCAAACAGUAGAGGAAGGAGAGAGAGGCACGAUACGUAAGCAGAUCGCAUCUCUCUCUCUGUGUGCGUGUGUACAUUUCUCCUCCACUCCUUCUGUCUUCCUCUGUCCUCGCUGUCGCCGUCAACAAAUUUGGUCGCACUCCUUUUCGCGGAUUUUCGUUCUUUCUGUCUCUUCCCUCCUCCCAUUCAAGCCUUCUCUCUUACACACGACGUCAACGCUUUCUUUGUCGUCUACCCUCGCCAUGUUCAUCCCUCUCCAAAUCCUUUUCUCUUUCUGACUUCUCCGUUGUCUGCCUCCUUUUCCGGGCGGCUCUUCGCUCUGGUCUUCCUCGUCGCCCUGUGCCUUCUACUGAACGCACCAGUUUUCCCCCUUUUUUUCUCCUUGGCUGUGCACGUGUGUGUGUGUGUAUUCUACGCUGCCCGAGCAGCUGAGGAGCGCAGAGAGAUCAAUACAAUACUUCUCCCCCAAAAAGAAUAUAUAUCGCCAUUUUCGCGCUUGGGCUCUUCUUGUUGCGGUUCUCUGCCGUCUUUGAGACACUCCGUUUCACUUUUGCGUACCUUCUUUUGUUUUGUCUCUCUGCCGUCGUUGCGACUUUUCUGGCCAUCGGUGUGUCGAUGAAUGUGUCUGGGUAGGUGGCGUUUUUCCUUCUUUCCUCUCUCAUCUUUGAGUGAGUGUGCUUGUGUGUGCGCGCUUUUCCUCUCCGUCCUCGCUGUCUCCUGUGUCGCGUCGUCCUUGCUGAUUCUGUGGAGUACAUGCUUUGUACUUGGACCAGAGCAGCAAGCGCAGCGGCAACAAACGUUUCCGCUCUUUUUCCGUUCCUCCUUUAGGGGUUUUUGUUUUCCUCUUGGGCUGCUUCGCCGCUCUCCUUCCACAUUUAUUGAACCUUGGCUCGGCUGCUCCUCAUUCCCCUUUCCCCCCUUUCACCUUUCCCCUCUAUCAUUGCUCAUCGGCGUUCUUCGCCCUCUUCGUAUACGUGUACGUGUGUGUGUGUGUCCUCGCAUAUCCGAUUCCGUUUUGGGAACGCUGCCGCCGCUGGCUCUUUGAUCGUGGAAUUCCUCACUCCUCCAUUUUCUUGCUUUCCCCCUGACCAGCUUCUCUGCGGUGUGGUACUCUCGUUGCAAAGGGCAUACCACACACAAACGGAGUCGCGGCGCACGCCGACCACAGAAUCUAUAUAUAUAUAUAUAUAUAUAUAUGUACAUAGCGUCCCUGCCGCUGACGUUUCAGAAGGCGCGAUGCCAGGACGUUGCUUCUCGAAGAGUCUGGCGUCGGAUGUCGACUCGGCCGCCGCUACCGAGAGCUCUCUCUCCGCAACCGAGGCGUCGACAGAUGGCCAUCGCACAGGUAAGCAGCUUCGCCAUGUCGCCUUUCUCCUUGAGAAGGACUUGAAGGAGACGGACACGGAGAAGGUGCCACGCGCUGCCUUUGCCGGCCGGCGCGGCGGCGCAGGUGCGCGGUCUACUGAAGAGCAAUGGUCAUGGAGUGGCAGGGCAGAGGCCGACGCGCUCCGGCAGCGUGCGCUGCAGUGCGGCGAGGAUUUCGUUCGUGUGGCAAGCGGGCUCGGCUACGAGGUGGUGGCGCACACUCCUACGGCGUUUCUUAAGCGCGGGAUGUCAGAGAAGACGGCUGCGCCUUUUGGAGUUGCCCAACCCGAAAAGCAAGGUGGAAUCGGCCUUGCGGUGGCGAAGAGUGCGACGGCGCGCGCUAGCACCGGCGCUGUCCCUCUCAGCUCGCCGUCGGCCGCCGAGACCACGGUGAGUCUUGCGGCCCCCUUCGGCUCCGGCGGCUCGCCGGUCUUCCCACGGAAGGGCGAACUCGACAGCUGCAGCAGCCGGUCCAGUUCCCUUGGCACCGAGGAUCAGGUCGGCAUGGUACCUGUGCUCAGCCCGCUGUUGCAGGGCAGCGAACCCGGCCAGCGUCGCCUCUCCACUGAUGCGUCUCUGCGCGCACUCGAGGUGCAGGCUCCGCGCACGACUGGAGCGCACGCCGGGAUAUACCGCUACCCAGCCACGAUCGCGUCCUUGCACUCCUUACAGGAUAGCACGCCCAACUCGGUGGCAGACGGCAAUAGCGUGCGCACGUCGCCCCACCGUUCAUCCCGCCCCGGCUUCGGGGCGGAGCAUCACACGAACGACGGCGCCAACAGCACACGGGUUGUUCAGUGGACGCCUAACACGAGGCAUCCUUCCCCGGCAAGAGGGUCGCCGGCGUCGCAUCGGGCUUUGACGCCGCGCACAGCUAUUCCCACCCGCAACCACCCUGUCACCGCCUCACUCAUGGUUCCUGGCCAGCAGAGCGACGCCUUUGCGGUCCGUCUCUCUAUCAUGGACGUCACCUCGUCCCGUACCAACAGCAACGCCAAUACUUCCAUGAGCGCCGAGCACCUAAACGGCCACGAAUUCGCGAAUGUCGGAGGCUCGCAGAACACGAACAACCGCUUCUUUACGUCUUCCACGGACGCAUUGAACACACCAGCGGUGCGCAUGACGGACGACGAGGAUUGGCCGCGAGCGACGGGCCGCUUGAUUCAGUAGGGCAAGAACGGGACAACGCCGGUUUUUGUUACCGCACCCCUGCUUCGUUUUCUUAUCGGCUUCCUUCGACGUUUGGCGUUGACUUUGUUGCCUCGAGGGGUCGUUUGGGCCGACAAACACGCCUUCUCAUUACCACUCUCGCAUCACUCCCGGUCUCCCUCUUUGUCCACACAGCGUUGUUUGCGUCUGGGUGCGCAUUCACGCCGCGAACACACACACAAACACAUACAUCUGGUGAGAGGCUUUGCUUUUGUAUUUGCGCUGUUGCCCUGCCACGUCACGUGGCCCUCUUUUUUUUCCGCCGCGUUUUUUUCUUUUGCUGAUCUCUCCCCCUCACCCCCUCUCUGAGUGGCACUCACUCAAUCUUCUUAUGCUUCUCUCUCUGUCUUGUCUGUUUUACCAUCUCUCCCUGCAUGCGCGCACCUCUCAUUUUCUUCCUCCCGACUGUGGCCACACCGUACUACAG